CGAGGCCUGGGGGGUCCCCAGAACUCCCAGCUUGGAGGAUCAGGGUCGUUCUGCCUUCACCCUUCCAGAAAAAUCCUGGGCAGGGUUUGGAUUGUGCGGACUUGGGUCACAUGGCCGUUGCUGAGCUAAUUCCUGUGGGUGGGGGAGCACCGACCGCUCUCUGGUUGGCUGGCCUCGGGUCGCGCGACUCCAGCCAGCUCCUGUGACCGCUCUGGGGACAGGGAGGCUGUCCCACCGACAACAGAAGCCAUCGUGAGGCAGGGGCUUCCUGCUGAUUGGAGGGCGCGGCAGGACGUCAGAUGGAGGAGAGCAGAAGGGAGGGACACUCGUUCUUCUUCACCGGGCUGUAGGAGCACAGAUCCCACCAGGUGGCCCUUCCUGAGGCCCUGGCCCUGGCUCUGGUAACCACCGCCUUCCCACACUCCUUCGGCCUGGGGGUGGUCACGGGUCCCUUGAUGCCUCAGCCGCUCUGGUGGUUCCCUCAAUCCUGCCAACACCUCUGAAAAUGCUCUUUUCAUUAACAAAUCUCGUUGCCCCCCCAUAAGUGGGCCAUCUGUUUCCUGUCCUAUUCUGAGAGAUGCCAGUCUCGUGGCAGGCCAGGCACAGCACGCACAUCCUGGAGAGUCCCAGCAGCACCUGCACAAAACCCCAUUAAAGUGGCUGGCUGCACCUGUGCCCAGGGCAUCUGGGCUGAGGCCAGGGACACAGCCUGCCCUGAGGAGCCCCGGGGGGCCUACAAGACAGCAAGGGCCCCAGCCUGACAGAGUCCAACUCCAGGAGCUGGGGUGGUGAGCAGGGCUCUGCUGUCAGCCAGUCAUGACCUUCCAAAGAGAACAAGCCCUUGGCACAGGGUCGCUAGGCCCGUCCUCAGCCUCUCCUGUCUCUUGGACUCUGUGGAUGGGAUCCCUGCGGGGCCUGUCCAGCCCAGCCCAUCUGGAGGAUCUGCAGAAGCAGGACAUGCCAUUUCCACGUGUGGGACUUUGUCAUCUAUCUGGGCCUGGCUCCUUUGCAAAGUGUCCUCAUUCCUGAGCCCUGGGGACAAAAGACUUAUCAGACUGGGACCUCUGCUGGGUGGGGGAGACAGGUGCAGUCUCAGGACAGGCUGAGAGUUGGCCCAGUGAACAGGUGAGGGCUGCAGAACCCAUGCAGCUGGGAGGGGGGCUGGCCCAGGGCUCAGGGCUCUGCUUCCCUUCCUCUGGGCUCCAGGCUUCUUCCACAGCCGACCUGGCACCGUUCGAUUCCUUCCAGAUCCGACCCUCAGUGUGACCACAGUGAUAGUCACGUUAUUCCCCACAGGGCCCCUGCCCUCAAGCCUGCCCUCCCCCUCCUCCCUCUCUCCCUCCUUCUGUCCCCCCCCCACUCGGGUGACAAUAGUGACGUCAACAACUGAAAGCCCCAGCACCUGCUGGUCACCAGAUCCAUGCAGCAUUUGGGGGCGGCUCCCUUUCCUUGAGCACACCCCUCACCGUGGAAGCCAUGGGCUGGGCCCCAUGGAUCUGGGAGAGGUCUCAAGUACCCAUGACAAAAUCACGUCUUCAGAAUCUCGUGUUUUCAUUUAAAACAAAAUUCAUUCACAUAUGGCACGCUCCUCCUUGCCAAUCGAUGCUUUAUAAUGAAUGCUCCGCGGAGGCUCUGCUGACCCCUCCCCAGAGCCUCCAGGCCCGAGCAUCGUGCCGCAUCUGGUGAUGGCAGGGCACCCAUGUCAUGGUGACCAAGUGAUAGCACAUCGCCCAACAGGCAGGCAGGGGAGCCAGACCCAGAGUCUGGUCUUGGCCAGCCUAGGGCAGGGUGGGGACCUGGCUGCCCGAAAAAAGGCCUGUUUACCCGGCCAGGAGGACGCCAGCCGCAGGCCUGCCAGGCCCUGUGGGAUCCACCCACGGAAUCACAAUGGGCAGCUUGUGCCCUAGCCAUCCUCCUGGGGCCACCCCGGGCCUGGUGCCGUGGACAAGGCAAGCGGGGGGGUGGGGGGGGGGGGACGGGCAGGGAGGAACCUUUGUGUCCUUGGCAAGGCCAGAUGCUCGUGCGUGCCUAUGGGUCAGCUGAGACAGUGCGGGCAGAGUGGGCCCCAAAGCUGUCCACAUCCUCAUUCUGGAAACUGGGAAUGUGUUACCUUCCACGGCAAAGGGGACUUCAGGUCGCUGAUUCCCUGACCCGAAGGUGGGAAGGUGUCCUAGAUCCUCUGGGCGGGCCCCAGGCUGCCAGGGUCCCUUAACUGGAAGAGGCAGGGAAGGAGCAUCAAGGUCAGAGAGAUGUUGGCUGUGAAUGGGGGGAAGGCCACGAGCCGAGGGGUGCAGAUACCUCUAGAAGCUGGAAAACAGAUUCUCCCCUGGAGCCUCCAGAAGCAGCCAGCCCCACCACACCUUGCUUUUAGCCCUGUGAGACCCUGCAGGACCUUGGACCCAGGAGACUGUAAGAGGAGAAAUCUGUGUGUGCCAGGCCACCGAGUGAGUGGUCAUUUGUCACCCCAGCGACAGGAACCAUGCAGGAAUCGGUUUCUGCCCUCCACAGCGGCAAGGCACCAUGAGGCAGUUACCCCCUGGCUGAGCCUCGGAUUCCCCGUCUGAAUCUUAAGGACAAUAACCUCCCUCCAGAAGGGUCCGGGACCGUGCACGCGGGACACUUAAUCCCGCGGCUGCACACAGUAGGAGGGUGUCCCCCUGGUCAGGCCACCUCCUUCCUCCCCAUGGCACGGGCCCCACACCCUGGUUCGUCCACUCGUGUGGAGUAGGGCUUGUUGCUGGGGCAAGGGGGGGACGGGGAGCCUGUGGGAUGGGCAGGGGGGAGGCAGAGGGGAUGGGCUGGGGAGCUUGGAAAAGAGAGCGUGUCCCUCCAAGAUGACCGAGGGCAUGGCGUAUGGUUGAACCAGGGCCACCUGCGCCUGCGGCUCAAAUGGGUUGGAUCCUAUCCGGCCCAGAGCUGCACGUGGGGGGUGGUCGGAUCAGAUCCUCUGCAAGGAGCCCAGGAGUAGCCAGGGAAACCUGCAAAGAUGAGGGUUUUCUUUCUUCUUUCUUUCUUUUUUUAAAUUUUGAUUUCCUUAUUUUUUUAUUUUUUUUUAUUAGUUUCAGAGGUAGAGGUCAGUGAUUCAUCAGUCUUAUGUAACACCCAGUGCUCAUUACAUCCUGUACCCUCCUUAAUGCCCAUCACCCGGUUACACCAUCCUCCCCACCCCCCUCCCCUCCAGCAACCCUCAGUUUGUUUCCUAUGAUUAAGAGUCUCUCAUGGUUUGUCUCCUUCUCUGAUUUCUUCUUGUUUUAUUUUCCCUCCCUUCCCCUAUGAGCCUCUGUGCUGUUUCUUAAAUUCCACAUAUGACUGAGAUCAUAUGAUAAUUGUCUUUCUCUGAUUGACUUAUUUCACUUAGCAUAAUACCCUCCAGUUCCAUCCACAUCGUUGUGAAUGACAAGAUUUCCUUGUUUUUGAUGGCUGCGUGAUAUUCCAUUGUCUCUAUAUGCCACGUUGUCUUUAUCCAUUCAAGAGCAGGAUGUGGAAGGGUUUGGAAGCAGGGACAGUAGGGAGGGUGGCAGGGUGCUGGGCGGGGGUCAUUGGGGACAGCUGGAGUGGAGGGGUGGACACAGGGGCAGAGGAAAGGAAACCAGAGAGGGCCUCUCUGGAGUAGGGGAGGGUGGAGGGACGUUGCCAGGGUGGUCAGGGCCAGCAGGCCGGGCUGGUGGUUGGUGUGCAGCUGGACCCCGAGCGGGGCCCUCCGCAGCCCCACCAGGCACCCCCUGACCGGGAAGGGGGUGAUCCCCAGGUGGAGACAGCUGCUUCUGGGUAUCUCCCCAUCUCUACCAGUGUCCGGGGGCCACCACCCAGAGCACCACACACCGAGGCGUAAACAAC